rnacentral:rRNA from 1 species
AGCGAACGCUGGCGGCAGGCUUAACACAUGCAAGUCGAGCGGGCAUCUUCGGAUGUCAGCGGCAGACGGGUGCGUAACACGUGGGAACGUACCCUUCGGUUCGGAACAACUCUGGGAAACUGGAGCUAAUACCGGAUACGCCCUUAUGGGGAAAGGUUUACUGCCGAAGGAUCGGCCCGCGUCUGAUUAGCUAGUUGGUGGGGUAACGGCCUACCAAGGCGACGAUCAGUGGCUGGUCUGAGAGGAUGAUCAGCCACACUGGGACUGAGACACGGCCCAGACUCCUACGGGAGGCAGCAGUGGGGAAUAUUGGACAAUGGGCGCAAGCCUGAUCCAGCCAUGCCGCGUGAGUGAUGAAGGCCUUAGGGUUGUAAAGCUCUCUUGUCCGGGACGAUAAUGACGGUACCGGAAGAAUAAGCCCCGGCUAACUUCGUG